CACGGGGGUUGCGAGCGUUGUCCGGAGUUACUAGGCGUAAAGGGCAGGCAGGCGGAUCCAUAAGUUUAUCGUUUAAGGCGUCGGCUUAACCGGCGUAGGGCGGUAGAUACUGUGGAUCUGGAAUGCGGUUGGGGAAGACAGAAUUCCUGGUGUAGCGGUGGAAUGCGCAGAGACCAGGAGGAAUACCGAAGGCGAAGGCAGUCUUCCAAGCCGUUAUUGACGCUCAACUGCGAAGGUGUGGGUAUCAAACAGGAUUAGAUACCCUGGUAGUCCCUGAG
rnacentral:rRNA from 1 species